ensembl:lncRNA
UGUUUAAUGUAGUCGUAAAGCACCGCUGGGGCCGCGUUACCAUCCAUGUGGUGCACGGUGCGGAUCAGGUCAAACACGAUGUGAAGACUAGCGCCGGGAGAGCAAGCGGAUAGCCCUGAGUCGCGGCUGCAUCCUGGCCGCUCGGCAGGGCGGAGGUCAGCCUUCCACGCCCCGCCAAGACACCAUAUCUGCGCCCGACAGCCGGCACACCGGACACGGGGAGAGGCUAGCUGUGGCCCGCGGAGGGGCGAGGCGACAGAAUGGGCCGAAGGCAAGGACAAUAAGAAACGAGAGGCGGGUAGGUGUAAGGACUGGUCAGUCGUAAGAGACGGAGGGUGUUGAGUCGAAAAGGAAACAUUCUAAAUCCGCGUCAGACUGUAGGUGUGCUGUGAACAGAGUAGCAUUUUUUGGCUACGCAUAGCGCAGUGGGUGUGCUGCUUCAGAUGGGGGGGGGGGGAUUGCCGGUAAAGGGUC